rnacentral:rRNA from 1 species
GAUGAACGCUGGCGGCGUGCCUAAUACAUGCAAGUCGAGCGAACAGACGAGGAGCUUGCUCCUCUUACGUUAGCGGCGGACGGGUGAGUAACACGUGGAUAACCUACCUAUAAGACUGGGAUAACUUCGGGAAACCGGAGCUAAUACCGGAUAAUAUAUUUAACCGCAUGGUUCAAUAUUGAAAGACGGUUUUGCUGUCACUUAUAGAUGUAUCCGCGCCGCAUUAGCUAGUUGGUAAGGUAACGGCUUACCAAGGCAACGAUGCGUAGCCGACCUGAGAGGGUGAUCGGCCACACUGGAACUGAGACACGGUCCAGACUCCUACGGGAGGCAGAAGUAGGGAAUCUUCCGAAAUGGGCGAAAGCCUGACGGAGAAACGCCGCGUGAGUGAUGAAGGUCUUCGGAUCGUAAAACUCUGUUAUAAGGGAAGAACAAAUGUGUAAGUAACUAUGCACGUCUUGACGGUACCUAAUCAGAAAGCCACGGCUAACUACGUG